AACUGUGCCAGCAGAAAAAGUUGCUUUUGUCAUUCCCGUUUCUCCACCUGAGCGUGGGAUUCCUGGAAUCCUGUGAGCUUUUCCUGGAAGAAGUGGUGCAGGCCGGAAUGGCUUGUGCAGAAAGCACUCCAAGGCUGCAGAGAUGUCCAGGAGGCAGCUGGAAUUCAGGGAGAGCUCCUGGAAUUCUCUCUCCUGGAAGGAGCUGCAGCUCCAGACUGAGAAGAUUCUCCUGCGUGGAAGUGUCUCCCACUGUUCAACUGCUGCAGGUUUUUAUUUCUGGAAUUCCCUCUCUUUCUCAUUUGGAAAUUCACCUUUUUAUUGGAAGAAAUCUUUCUUUGGAGAGAGACAAAGGACAGGGUGAGGAAUCCUGAAGGUGUCCCUGUCCUUGCCCAUGCCCAGAGCAUCUCUGUGCACUCAUCCUGCUCACAGCCAGCAUUAUCCUGGCUGGAAAACCUCUGGAAUGCCUCAGGAAAUCCCUGGGAAGGGGGCAGAGGUGAGGAGCUGACACACCAGGGGCUGUCCUGGGAUUGUCCCUCUCUGCUCCAUCCUUCCGUGCUCGGGAUUUUGGGAGCAGCUCCCAAAGGAAUUAAAAGCAGUUUUUUGAGGAAGAAAACUUCCUUCUGGUGUGCUGGGGAUGAAAUAUCAGCUGAGAGGGGGACAGGAAAAAAGGAUGGAGACAAAGCUCUGCUCCACCACCCCCAGAAGAGGGAGAAUUUGAUAAUAAAUCCAUUUUCUUGUUCAAGAUUCUCGUUUUACCCAAGGACAACAAGACCACUUCAAAGAACAGCAUGGAGAACUUGCUGGUGCUUCCUCCACCCCUCUUUUCUUUGUGUUCUUCACAAAUCUCCCCAUUCCACUGCAAAAAAACCCACCUAUCCUGGAGAGGUCGCAUUGUAAUUCAGAAAGGUUUUCUCCCCCAUUUUCCUAUAUAAGAAAAAGCUCUUUUUCUUCACACAAGUGUUAAAUGACUCCUAUUAAAACCAAAUUUAAGUG